GACGUAGCAGUCUGGGCGCCGCGACGCGGCUAAAAGCGUCUCUCGCCAGUCCAGUGUCGACGCCGUGGGAGAGUUGUUGGAGUCCUACAGACAGCCAAAGGGUGCUGAAAUGUCAAUAAAGGUUGAUGAAAAUGACCCAGUUGGAGAGUUGGAGCCCAGUUUUCCCUACAGAGAUGUAACUAUCAGGAGAAAUGUUGACAUGAAGGAGUUUUACGACCUUGAAUCAGAAAUCGGCAGGAUUGUUGACAAGUGAAGUAAACUG